rnacentral:rRNA from 1 species
AUUGAACGCUGGCGGCAGGCCUAACACAUGCAAGUCGAACGAGGGGCGGACGGGUGGGUAAUGUCUGGGAAACUGCCUGGUGGAGGGGGAUAUCUACUGGAAACGGUAGCUAAUACCGCAUACCAUCGGAUUUGCCCAGAUGGGAUUGGCUAGUAGGUGGGGUAACGGCUCACCUAGGCGACGAACCCUAGCUGGACGGAGAGGAUGACCAGCCACCCUGGAACUGAGACAGGGUCCAGCCUCCUACGGUAGGCACCAGGGGGGAAUCUUGCACAAUGGGCGCAAGACUGUUGCAGCCGUGCCGAGUGUGUGAAAAAGGCCUUCGUGGUGUAAGAUACUUUAAGCGGGAAGGCGGUACCUGCAGGAGAAGCACCGGCUAACUCCGUGCCAGCAGCCGCGGUAAUUC